UCAAACGGUAGCACAGAAGAGCUUGCUCUCGGGUGACGAGUGGCGGACGGGUGAGUAAUGUCUGGGAAACUGCCCGAUGGAGGGGGAUAACUACUGGAAACGGUAGCUAAUACCGCAUAACGUCGCAAGACCAAAGAGGGGGACCUUCGGGCCUCUUGCCAUCGGAUGUGCCCAGAUGGGAUUAGCUUGUAGGUGAGGUAACGGCUCACCUAGGCGACGAUCCCUAGCUGGUCUGAGAGGAUGACCAGCCACACUGGAACUGAGACACGGUCCAGACUCCUACGGGAGGCAGCAGUGGGGAAUAUUGCACAAUGGGCGCAAGCCUGAUGCAGCCAUGCCGCGUGUAUGAAGAAGGCCUUCGGGUUGUAAAGUACUUUCAGCGGGGAGGAAGGGAGUGAGGUUAAUAACCUUAUUCAUUGACGUUACCCGCAGAAGAAGCGCCGGCUAACUCCGUGCCAGCAGCCGCGGUAAUACGGAGGGUGCAAGCGUUAAUCGGAAUUACUGGGCGUAAAGCGCACGCAGGCGGUCUGUCAAGUCGGAUGUGAAAUCCCCGGGCUCAACCUGGGAACUGCAUUCAAAACUGGCAGGCUGGAGUCUUG
rnacentral:rRNA from 1 species